rnacentral:rRNA from 1 species
UACGUAGGGUGCAAGCGUUAAUCGGAAUUACUGGGCGUAAAGCGUGCGCAGGCGGUUAUGCAAGACAGAGGUGAAAUCCCCGGGCUCAACCUGGGAACUGCCUUUGUGACUGCAUAGCUAGAGUACGGUAGAGGGGGAUGGAAUUCCGCGUGUAGCAGUGAAAUGCGUAGAGAUGCGGAGGAACACCGAUGGCGAAGGCAACCCCCUGGGCUGACACUGACGCUCAGGCACGAAAGCGUGGGGAGCAAACAGG